rnacentral:tRNA from 1 species
UUCAAGGUAGCUAUAAUGAAGUGGCGGUCUUGUAAACCGUUGAAAAGGUGCUCCACCUUCUUUGAAU